AAAGGUGGAUUUCUUGGAAAUGGCAGGCUAUGAAGGACGUGCUAAUCUGCGAUAAGCUAGGAGUAAUCGAUAAGAGAUACUUAUUCCUAGAUCUCCGAAUGUAGAAAUAUGAUAUUUCGAAAGAUUUAUCGUUCAACAGCCAAUUCAUAACUGUUGAAAGCGAACCUCGUGAAGUGAAACAUCUCA
rnacentral:rRNA from 1 species